GCAAUUUCAGCUGACCUUUGAGGACUUCAAAUCAUAACAUGGUGGUUCCCAGAGGAAAGCUGGAUACAAUUACCAGAGGGUCCUGGGCGGGCAUCUACCUGUCCAAAGGGAUAAUGUAGCAGAAGAAGGGGGGACCCCUCCUGCCCAAGAGAGGCCCCUCUGCAAGCCCCUUCCUGCUUCUCAGUUCAGCAGCCAUGUCCCGACACUCGUCCACAAAGCCUCCACCUCAUUGUGUUGCUCUGUAAAGGGCGCCUCUGCUUCCUGACGUGUCCCAAGAAGUGGGGAGCAGCUUCUCCUGCGGCUCAGGGAGAAAAGCCCCGAUGUCCUGCUCACCAGAGCCCUGAGACGCCCUUCCCUCCCAGAGACCAAGACCUCAUGGCUCUCUGAUCACAAUCAAGAUAAUAAUAACAAUAAAGAGUUGGCCACUUCCUCAUCUUCCCUUCUGGUUGGGUUGCUGGGUGGGUGGACUUAGUACCAGUGCUGUAAAGUACUUAGCACACAGCUGGUUGAAACACCUACUGAAUGAGGUAGGUUGUAUUUUCCAAGAUGGCGGCCACAGUGUGUCUCACCCCACACACCCUUCCUUUUUCCACCAUAGUAUUCAUUUUGGAAGUUGAAAUAUACUUGACACACAUCAAGAUAUUGAACAUAUCCAUCAACCUUAAAGGUUUCCUCAUGCCCCUCUGCCAUCCUUCCCUCCACCCCACCCCUGGCAUCUCCAGGCAACCUUUGGUGUCCUUUCUGUCAUCACAGGUUAGUUUGUAUUUUCUAGGCUUUUAUAUAAAUUGAAUAAUACCGUACCUGCACUGUUUUGUCUGGCUUCUUUCACUCAGCCUAAUAACUUGGAGAGCUGUCCACGUUGUUGCAUGUAUCAACAGUUAAUCUGUAUUGAUGAAUUGUAUUUCACUGUAUACCAUAAAUUACUUAUCUGUUCACCUGUUGAGGGACAUUUGGGUUGUUUCUCAUAUUUGGCUAGUUCAAAUAAAGCUGCUACGACCAUACGCUUUCCUUUCCCUCGGGUGGUUACGUCGGAGUUGCAUGGCGGGGUCAUAUGGUCUUUGCCUUCAACCCUCGGACACUUCACCUUCUCUUAGCCACCUCUCGGGGGCGCGGGGUAGAGGUGUGGAAGAGCUUCGGCUCUCCUGCGGGGCUGCCUGGAUUUGAAUCCUGUCCCUGCGACUUCUUUUCUAAGCUGUCCUGUAUUGCCAGGCAAAAUGUUCUGCCCCUCUGAACCUGCUUCCUGUCCCCCAAAAGGGGGGUAAUGCUGUCUCCCAAACAGGUGAAGAUACUGAGUCACAAAUACUUGCCCACGUUCAAGCAGCCAGCCAAAGCCAGAGCAGGAUGAGAACCCAUGUCUGCCUGAUUCCAGAACUCGUGGCCGUUCCUUGCACUUACUGUCUCGUUUCUGGGGAAAAGAAGAUUCGGAGACAGGACCAGUGUCAGGUAUGAAACAGGAAACCCACAGCCCAGUAGAGCUGUUCUAGCUGAUCCUUCCGCAGAUAAAACUGAGUGGCUUAACACCCUGAUGGGAGGCUGUCAUUAGACCUUCAACCCAAACCCCACGGGGAAGAGGAAGAAGAGCAAGAAUUUUCAUUUUUUUAAGCAGAGAAACUUCAAAAUAGUGCUGUAACAAAGAAAGCACACAUACACUAUGUCCCAAAACAUUGUAUAAAAAAAAAAACGGCAUACAUAUGUUUUUCAUUGUAAGUAAAUUUACCCCCAUCCCCCUCCAACAAACCAACUUUAAAUAAACAUUGAACUCUAGUUAA